rnacentral:rRNA from 1 species
AGAGUUAAAUAGUACGUGAAAUUGUUGAAAGGGAAACGAUUGAAGCCAGUCGUACUCACGGGUAAUCAACCUUUCUGGCGCGAUUAUGUGGGCGUGUUGGAGCCUAAUCAGCCCUCACGUUUUUAUAUUCGUUCCUUUUGGGUGUACUUGCCCGUGCGGUAGGUUAACAUCAAUUUCGGACGUCAUAAAAUGACGGGAGGAAUGUAGCUUCGGUCUCGUACUGAAGUGUUAUAGACUCUGGUAGAUGUGACGUCUGGGAUUGAGGAUUGCAACGGAUACCUCUCGGGGCUACCUGCCUGGCCUCUGAUGAUUGCUUUGGUGCCGAAAGCUUGCUUACGGUCAUCAAAGUUGAUUGUCAAAAGGUUAGAACGGGUUAAAUUCGUUAAGGAUGUUGACGUAAUGGCUUUAAACGACC